rnacentral:rRNA from 1 species
UACGAAGGGGGCUAGCGUUGUUCAGAAUUACUGGGCGUAAAGGGCGCGUAGGCGGCCACCGCAAGCCGGCUGUGAAAUCUCCGGGCUUAACCCGGAAAGGUCAAUCGAUACUGCGGGGCUAGAGUGCAGAAGGGGCAACUGGAAUUCUCGGUGUAGCGGUGAAAUGCGUAGAUAUCGAGAGGAACACCUGCGGCGAAGGCGGGUUGCUGGGCUGACACUGACGCUGAAGCGCGAAAGCUAGGGGAGCGAACGGG